rnacentral:rRNA from 1 species
UUUCCUACGGGAGGCAGCAGUGGGGAAUAUUGGGCAAUGGGCGCAAGCCUGACCCAGCAACGCCGCGUGAAGGAAGAAGGCUUUCGGGUUGUAAACUUCUUUUCUGGGGGACGAAGAAAGUGACGGUACCCCAAUAGCAAGCCACGGCUAACUACGUGCCAGCAGCCGCGGUAAUACGUAGGUGGCAAGCGUUAUCCGGAAUGACUGGGCGUAAAGGGUGCGUAGGUGGUUUAGUAAGUUGGCGGUGUAAUUCCGGGGCUCAACCUCGGCGCUACCGCCAAAACUAUUAGACUAGAGUGCAGGAG